AAGUCGUAACAAGGUUUCCGUAGGUGGACCUGCGGAAGGAUCAUUAAAGAAUACCUGGACUCCGGUCCUCGUCGAGAAAGGUCGUCCCGGGUGGCCUCCAGGUCCCCCGGGGGCUUUCCCCUCCUCUUACCCUCUGUUUACUCCACCUCUGUUGCUUUGGCACAGCUCCUGCCCGGGUGGUUCCGGGCUUGGGCUCGCGGACGGACCCACUCGUGGAUAGUCUAUGUUUUGUCUGAGUACGAUAUAAUCGUUUACAA
rnacentral:misc_RNA from 1 species